CCUACGGGGGGCUGCAGUGGGGAAUUUUGGACAAUGGGGGCAACCCUGAUCCAGCCAUGCCGCGUGAGUGAAGAAGGCCUUCGGGUUGUAAAGCUCUUUCAGACGGAAAGAAACGGUUACGGCUAAUACCCGUGACUAAUGACGGUACCGUCAGAAGAAGCACCGGCUAACUACGUGCCAGCAGCCGCGGUAAUACGUAGGGUGCGAGCGUUAAUCGGAAUUACUGGGCGUAAAGCGUGCGCAGGCGGUUUUGUAAGACAGACGUGAAAUCCCCGGGCUUAACCUGGGAACUGCGUUUGUGACUGCAAGACUAGAGUACGGCAGAGGGGGGUAGAAUUCCACGUGUAGCAGUGAAAUGCGUAGAUAUGUGGAGGAAUACCGAUGGCGAAGGCAGCCCCCUGGGUCGAUACUGACGCUCAUGCACGAAAGCGUGGGGAGCAAACAGGAUUAGAUACCCUUGUAGUC
rnacentral:rRNA from 1 species